GACCUACGGGAGGCAGCAGUGAGGAAUAUUGGUCAAUGGUCGAGAGACUGAACCAGCCAAGCCGCGUGAGGGAUGAAGGUACAGAGUAUCGUAAACCUCUUUUGUCAGGGAACAAAGGCGGGGACGUGUCCCCGGAUGAGUGUACCUGAAGAAAAAGCAUCGGCUAACUCCGUGCCAGCAGCCGCGGUAAUACGUAGGGGGCAAGCGUUAUCCGGAUUUACUGGGUGUAAAGGGAGCGUAGGCGGCAAGGUAAGCCAGAAGUGAAAGCCCGCGGCUCAACUGCGGGACUGCUUUUGGAACUAUCU
rnacentral:rRNA from 1 species